UUAAGCGACUAAGCGUACACGGUGGAUGCCCUGGCAGUCAGAGGCGAUGAAGGACGUGCUAAUCUGCGAUAAGCGUCGGUAAGGUGAUAUGAACCGUUAUAACCGGCGAUUUCCGAAUGGGGAAACCCAGUGUGAUUCGUCACACUAUCAUUAACUGAAUCCAUAGGUUAAUGAGGCGAACCGGGGGAACUGAAACAUCUAAGUACCCCGAGGAAAAGAAAUCAACCGAGAUUCCCCCAGUAGCGGCGAGCGAACGGGGAGCAGCCCAGAGCCUGAAUCAGUGUGUGUGUUAGUGGAAGCGUCUGGAAAGGCGCGCGAUACAGGGUGACAGCCCCGUACACAAAAAUACACAUAUUGUGAGCUCGAUGAGUAGGGCGGGACACGUGGUAUCCUGUCUGAAUAUGGGGGGACCAUCCUCCAAGGCUAAAUACUCCUGACUGACCGAUAGUGAACCAGUACCGUGAGGGAAAGGCGAAAAGAACCCCGGCGAGGGGAGUGAAAAAGAACCUGAAACCGUGUACGUACAAGCAGUGGGAGCACGCUUAGGCGUGUGACUGCGUACCUUUUGUAUAAUGGGUCAGCGACUUAUAUUCUGUAGCAAGGUUAACCGAAUAGGGGAGCCGAAGGGAAACCGAGUCUUAACUGGGCGUUAAGUUGCAGGGUAUAGACCCGAAACCCGGUGAUCUAGCCAUGGGCAGGUUGAAGGUUGGGUAACACUAACUGGAGGACCGAACCGACUAAUGUUGAAAAAUUAGCGGAUGACUUGUGGCUGGGGGUGAAAGGCCAAUCAAACCGGGAGAUAGCUGGUUCUCCCCGAAAGCUAUUUAGGUAGCGCCUCGUGAAUUCAUCUCCGGGGGUAGAGCACUGUUUCGGCAAGGGGGUCAUCCCGACUUACCAACCCGAUGCAAACUGCGAAUACCGGAGAAUGUUAUCACGGGAGACACACGGCGGGUGCUAACGUCCGUCGUGAAGAGGGAAACAACCCAGACCGCCAGCUAAGGUCCCAAAGUCAUGGUUAAGUGGGAAACGAUGUGGGAAGGCCCAGACAGCCAGGAUGUUGGCUUAGAAGCAGCCAUCAUUUAAAGAAAGCGUAAUAGCUCACUGGUCGAGUCGGCCUGCGCGGAAGAUGUAACGGGGCUAAACCAUGCACCGAAGCUGCGGCAGCGACGCUUAUGCGUUGUUGGGUAGGGGAGCGUUCUGUAAGCCUGUGAAGGUGUGCUGUGAGGCAUGCUGGAGGUAUCAGAAGUGCGAAUGCUGACAUAAGUAACGAUAAAGCGGGUGAAAAGCCCGCUCGCCGGAAGACCAAGGGUUCCUGUCCAACGUUAAUCGGGGCAGGGUGAGUCGACCCCUAAGGCGAGGCCGAAAGGCGUAGUCGAUGGGAAACAGGUUAAUAUUCCUGUACUUGGUGUUACUGCGAAGGGGGGACGGAGAAGGCUAUGUUGGCCGGGCGACGGUUGUCCCGGUUUAAGCGUGUAGGCUGGUUUUCCAGGCAAAUCCGGAAAAUCAAGGCUGAGGCGUGAUGACGAGGCACUACGGUGCUGAAGUAACAAAUGCCCUGCUUCCAGGAAAAGCCUCUAAGCAUCAGGUAACAUCAAAUCGUACCCCAAACCGACACAGGUGGUCAGGUAGAGAAUACCAAGGCGCUUGAGAGAACUCGGGUGAAGGAACUAGGCAAAAUGGUGCCGUAACUUCGGGAGAAGGCACGCUGAUAUGUAGGUGAAGUCCCUUGCGGAUGGAGCUGAAAUCAGUCGAAGAUACCAGCUGGCUGCAACUGUUUAUUAAAAACACAGCACUGUGCAAACACGAAAGUGGACGUAUACGGUGUGACGCCUGCCCGGUGCCGGAAGGUUAAUUGAUGGGGUCAGCGCAAGCGAAGCUCUUGAUCGAAGCCCCGGUAAACGGCGGCCGUAACUAUAACGGUCCUAAGGUAGCGAAAUUCCUUGUCGGGUAAGUUCCGACCUGCACGAAUGGCGUAAUGAUGGCCAGGCUGUCUCCACCCGAGACUCAGUGAAAUUGAACUCGCUGUGAAGAUGCAGUGUACCCGCGGCAAGACGGAAAGACCCCGUGAACCUUUACUAUAGCUUGACACUGAACAUUGAGCCUUGAUGUGUAGGAUAGGUGGGAGGCUUGGAAGUGUGGACGCCAGUCUGCAUGGAGCCGACCUUGAAAUACCACCCUUUAAUGUUUGAUGUUCUAACGUUGACCCGUAAUCCGGGUUGCGGACAGUGUCUGGUGGGUAGUUUGACUGGGGCGGUCUCCUCCUAAAGAGUAACGGAGGAGCACGAAGGUUGGCUAAUCCUGGUCGGACAUCAGGAGGUUAGUGCAAUGGCAUAAGCCAGCUUGACUGCGAGCGUGACGGCGCGAGCAGGUGCGAAAGCAGGUCAUAGUGAUCCGGUGGUUCUGAAUGGAAGGGCCAUCGCUCAACGGAUAAAAGGUACUCCGGGGAUAACAGGCUGAUACCGCCCAAGAGUUCAUAUCGACGGCGGUGUUUGGCACCUCGAUGUCGGCUCAUCACAUCCUGGGGCUGAAGUAGGUCCCAAGGGUAUGGCUGUUCGCCAUUUAAAGUGGUACGCGAGCUGGGUUUAGAACGUCGUGAGACAGUUCGGUCCCUAUCUGCCGUGGGCGCUGGAGAACUGAGGGGGGCUGCUCCUAGUACGAGAGGACCGGAGUGGACGCAUCACUGGUGUUCGGGUUGUCAUGCCAAUGGCACUGCCCGGUAGCUAAAUGCGGAAGAGAUAAGUGCUGAAAGCAUCUAAGCACGAAACUUGCCCCGAGAUGAGUUCUCCCUGACUCCUUGAGAGUCCUGAAGGAACGUUGAAGACGACGACGUUGAUAGGCCGGGUGUGUAAGCGCAGCGAUGCGUUGAGCUAACCGGUACUAAUGAACCGUGAGGCUUAACCUU
rnacentral:rRNA from 1 species